CCCGCCGCCAUGGGCCCGCGCCGCCGGGGCGAGGGCAGGUGAGGCGGCGGCGCCAUGGGCGAGCGCGGAGCCGGGCCCGAGCGCCAGCCCGAGCAGCCCGGCCGGCCCGCGCGCCCCCGCCCGCCGCCCCCGCGGGGAUGCCCGCGCCCUGAGCGCCCCGAGCGCCGUGCCCGCGCGCCGCUGGCCUCGCGAUGAAGACGGAGCCGGCGCGGCCCGAGGCGGCCCCGGGGCCCCCCUGCGCGCCGGGCCCGGAGGACGCGCGGCGGGGGCGGCGGGCCGGCGGGGGAGCCUGCGCGGCGGAGCGCCCGGCCCCGGACCCCGGCCCGCCGCCUCCAGAGCUCGGCCUGCUCCUGUGCUGGGCCCCGGAGCCGGAGCGUGAUGCUCCCCAAAGUUGCCCGGGGACCGUGCCUCUCCGCGGGGAGGUCGCCCUCUUCCCUCCUUUCGCCGCCUGCGCCGCGGGCGAGCUGGCCCUGGACGAGGGUCCCAGCGCCCUGGACCAGCCCGCGGGCUUCGGCCAGCCCCCCGCCGUUCCCAGCGAGCCUGCGGGGUGCCAGGAGGAGGCCCCCCGCCUCCGAGCCGUGUUCGAUGCCCUGGACGGCGACGGGGACGGCUUCGUCCGCAUCGAGGACUUCGUCCAGUUCGCCACCGUCUAUGGGGCAGAGCAGGUGAAGGACUUAACUAAAUACUUGGAUCCCAGCGGGCUCGGUGUGAUCAGUUUUGAAGACUUCUUCAGAGGGAUCACAGCCAUCAGAAAUGGAGAUUCCGAGCCGCUGGGAGGAGAGGCGCCGGCCUGUGACGAGGAGCCUCUGGCCGGCCCCGAGGAACUCGACGACUUUGUCACCUAUGAGGCCGCCGAGGUGAGCGACAGCGCAUACAUGGGCUCCGAGAGCACCUAUAGCGAGUGCGAGACCUUCACAGACGAGGACACGAGCACCCUGGUGCACGCUGAGCUGCAGCACGAGGGCGAUGCCGACAGCGCAGGGGGCUCGGCCGUGCCCUCCGAGUGCCUGGAUGCUGCCGAGGAGCCCGAGCCCGGCGCGCUGCUGCUGCUCACGGGCAGGUCUCUCUCGCAGGGCCAGCCCGUCGUCACGGUGAUCGGUGGUGAGGAGCAUUUUGAGGACUAUGGAGAGGGCAGUGAGGGGGAGCUGUCCCCGGAGACCCCGCCCCUCUGCAAUGGUGGGGACGGCUGUGGAGUCUCUGCCUUUCUUUCCCCCAGCUCCGACCAGCUUGCCACCAGGCUGCACAGCUUCCUCACUGAGGAGGCCCUUGAGUUUUACUGUAGCCAGUGCCACAAACAAAUCACCCGCCUCGAGGACCUCUCUGCUCGCCUGAACGAUCUUGAAAUGAAUAGUCCGACAAAGCGGCUUUCCAGCAGGAAGGUGGCAAGGCACCUGCACCAGUCGGGGGCCCUGAGCAUGGAGGCCCUGGAGGGCCCUCCGCGGGACCCUGCAGAUGGGGUGGAGGAGGACAUUGCUGGCAAGGUUAUCUUCCUGGAGAAGCGGGUGUCGGAGCUGGAGAAGGACACCGCAGCCAGCGGGGAACAGCACAGCCGGCUGAGGCAGGAGAACCUCCAGCUCGUGCACAGAGCCAACGCACUGGAGGAGCAGCUGAAGGAGCAGGAGCUGAGAGCCAGCACCAGGGUGCUGGAGGAGGCCCGGAGGCAGAGGGAGCUCCUGUGCAAGGUGGAGCGGGAGAGGAGCAUCGAGGUGGAAAACUUGCAGGCCAGGCUGCAGCAGCUGGACGAAGAGAACAGCGAGCUGCGGGCCUGCACGCCCUGCUUGAAGGCCAGCAUCGAGCGCCUGGAGGAGGAGAAGCAGAGAUUGUUGAACGAGAUCGAGGACUUGUCAUUGCGGCUGAGCGAGGAGCAGGAGGGCAGGAGGCAGGCGGGCGACAGGCUGAGCCACGAGAGGCACCGGUUCAGGAGGGACAGAGAAGCAGCCCAGGAGGCUCCAACCUCACCUGUGCUUGCAGCUGAUCGAGGACCUGCGCAAGCAGCUGGAGCAGCUGCAGCUGUUCAAGCUGGAGGUCGAGCAGAGGAGGGGCCGCAGCAGCAGUGCUGGCCUGCAGGAGUACAACAGCCGGGCCAGGGAGAGCGAGCUGGAGCAGGAGGUCCGCAGGCUGAAGCAGGACAACCGCAGCCUGAAGGAGCAGAACGAUGAGCUCAAUGGGCACAUCAUCAACCUGAGCAUCCAGGGCGCCAGGAGCCUCUUCUCCACAUCCUUCUCGGAGUCGCUGGCCGCAGAGAUCAGCUCCGUCUCCCGCGAUGAGCUGAUGGAAGCGAUCCAGAAGCAAGAGGAGAUCAACCUGCGCCUGCAGGACUAUAUCGACAGGAUCAUCGUGGCCAUCAUGGAGACCAACCCUUCCAUCCUGGAGGUGAAGUAGAGCAGCGAGGCCCAGCGGCUGGGCCCAGGACAUGCCGCAACGCAGCCGGAACCAGCAGGUCCACAGCCCCCAGCCAGAGUGCGCAGGAAGCACCCCGCCACUGGGGACUGGUGGGCGGGGGGGGGACAGGUAACGCUGGGGUGCCGGGGGGCAGAGAGCAGGUGGGAGAGGAGAGGAAGACCCACAGCUCCCAGACCUGGAGCCGCAGGGCCAAGCUCGGAGUCGGGGGCCGCUCUCCUCCUCUCUGCCCAGGCUGGGGGGUCCCUGCACGGAGCUGUCCACCCCUCUCAGGAAGAAAGGACAGGGAGCAGGCCCCCUCCCCGCUGGGGCCCUGCCCUCACACAAGUGCUGCUCCAGGGUGGGGGUCAAGGCCCUGGACCCCGCGCUGGACGCGGUGGUGAGGGGCCGGAGGACUUGGGUGGGAGUGGAGAACAGGCUGACGUAGUGGACCCUGCCGCUCCUGUCACCAUUUUCUGGGGGCUUGGUUUUCCCCCUGCAGCUGCCCCACACCCCUGAGCAGCUCAGGCCUUGCCACCCAGCAGGGGAGAUGCAGCACCAGGACCUCUCAGGUCUGUCUCCUCCCGCACGGGCCCGGGGCCUCCAGGGCCCUUACUGCAAUAACCCUCAGGGCUCUGACCGUGGCUGGGGAUGACCCCCACAAGAGCUGGGGCAGAAGCCCGUGCCAGACCCUUGGCUGUGAAUUCAUAACCUGAGAGGUUCUGGCCACAAAUGGGUGGCAGGCAGGACAGGCGGGUGCUGCUUUCAGGGGGUGAGAACUUCCCUGGCUCCAGGGGCCCACGUCCACGGCUGCCUGCGGGAAGACCUGUUUCACAGGCCAGAGUCUGACGCCGGCACCUUCUGGGCUGGCCGUAGGAGCAGUUUUCCCACGGGUGCUUUUUGCGGGAGUGGAGAGGAGGGCCAUCCCUGGAGAGCGUGGGUGAGGAGGAAAGCACGAGGCCUUCCUGGCAGCUGGAAUCUGGGCGCGGUGGUGGCUUCGUCUGGCCCAGGGUUCCCAGCCCCCUACAUGGUCUAGGUGCACAGGGGUCUCCUCCAGAGGCUGCUGCGGCCGCCCCCGUGGGCCGAGAUCCAGCAUGUGGGGGGCUGCCCCAUCCUGUACCAUUCCUCCUCCACGUGGAUCACUUUCCACACUGACAUGUAAGAUGUUGCCUCAUACUGUAAAUUUUGGGAAAAGCCUUGGGUGUAAAUCAGUGUAAACUUGGAGGAGAGAUUUUUCUAUCAUGUAGAGUAGGUAUUUUUUAUAGAUUGGAGGUUGAUCGGUUUUUUUUAAUUCUUUCGAGAGAGAAAACUAUCUGUGUAUACACAUGAAAUAUAUAUAUGUAUGAUAUAUAAA